AUUUGCAUCUUCACUGCAAAGACAAGCAUAACGAUCUGGGUAUUGUCGAACUAAAGAAUACAGAGAUUUAUAUUGUAUCCACAAUCUCUGCUCGUGGGAGAUAUUAGAGAACGGACCAUGUAAGAUUAAAAAAUCUGGAAAGCGUGAAUGCUUUGCAUGGUAAAGCUUCUGAAAAAUAAAAUAAAAUAAUACCUUCUCUUUC